rnacentral:tRNA from 1 species
CAGCUGACAGCUUAAAAUGUUCCGAGCAUCGGUCUUGUAAACCGAAGGCCGGGGGUUCAAAUCCCCCUCGCUGC